rnacentral:rRNA from 1 species
UAAACACCCCACUUCUGAAAGUUGACCUCGAUCAGGUAGGAAUACCCGCUGAACUUAAGCAUU